rnacentral:rRNA from 1 species
AGAGUUUGAUCCUGGCUCAGAAUGAACGUUGGCGGCGUGGAUUAGGCAUGCAAGUCGAGCGAGUCUACCUUGUAGCAAUACUUGGUAAGUCGAGCGGCGUAAGGGGCAGUAAUACCUGGGAACGUACCCUGAGGUCGGGGAUAGCUGCUAGAAAUGGCGAGUAAUACCCGAUGAUCUCGAGAGAGCAAAGGCUUGCCGCCUUCGGAGCGGCCCAGGCGAUAUUAGCUAGUUGGUGAGGUAAUGGCUUACCAAGGCUUAGAUGUCUAGCGGGUGUGAGAGCACGACCCGCGCCACUGGCACUGAGACACUGGCCAGACACCUACGGGUGGCUGCAGUCGAGAAUCUUCGGCAAUGAGCGCAAGCUUGACCGAGCGACGCCGCGUGCGGGAUGAAGGCCUUCGGGUUGUAAACCGCUUUGGUCCGAAAGAAAGGGUAAAACUUGAUCGAUCGGAGAAACAAGGACGGGCUAAGUUCGUGCCAGCAGCCGCGGUAAGACGAACCGUCCAAACGUUAUUCGGAAUCACUGGGCUUAAAGGGCGCGUAGGCGGCCGAGCGGGUCACGGGUGAAAUCCUCCAGCUUAACUGGAGAACUGCCCUUGAUACCACUGCGGCUCGAGGAAGGAAGGGGCAAUCGGAACUGUCGGUGGAGCGGUGAAAUGCGUUGAUAUCGACAGGAACGCCGGUGGCGAAAGCGGAUUGCUGGUCCUUUUCUGACGCUGAGGCGCGAAAGCCAGGGGAGCAAACGGGAUUAGAUACCCCGGUAGUCCUGGCCUUAAACGAUGAGAACUAGGUAGUGGGGU